UACACAUGCAGUCGAGCGGUAGCACAAAGAGCUUGCUCUCGGGUGACGAGCGGCGGACGGGUGAGUAAUGUCUGGGAAACUGCCUGAUGGAGGGGGAUAACUACUGGAAACGGUAGCUAAUACCGCAUAACGUCGCAAGACCAAAGUGGGGGACCUUCGGGCCUCAUGCCAUCAGAUGUGCCCAGAUGGGAUUAGCUAGUACGUGGGGUAACGGCUCACCUAGGCCACGAUCCCUAGCUGGUCUGAGAGGAUGACCAGCCACACUGGAACUGAGACACGGUCCAGACUCCUACCGGAGGCAGCAGUGGGGAAUAUUGCACAAUGGGCGCAAGCCUGAUGCAGCCAUGCCGCGUGUGUGAAGAAUGCCUUCGGGUUGUAAAGCACUUUCAGCGGGGAGGAAGGCAUUAAGGUUAAUAACCUUGUCGAUUGACGUUACCCGCAGAAGAAGCACCGGCUAACUCCGUGCCAGCGGCCUCGGUAAUACGGAGGGUGCAAGCGUUUAUCGAAAUUACUGGGCGUAAAGCGCACGCUGGCGGUCUGUCAAGUCGGAGUGAAAUCCCCGGGCUCAACCUGGGAACUGCAUUCGAAACUGGCAGGCUAGAGUCUUGUAGAGGGGGGUAGAAUUCCAGGUGUAGCGGUGAAAUGCGUAGAGAUCUGAGGAAUACCGGUGGCGAAGCG
rnacentral:rRNA from 1 species